rnacentral:rRNA from 1 species
AGUGAACGCUGGCGGUAGGCCUAACACAUGCAAGUCGAACGGCAGCACAGGAGAGCUUGCUCUCUGGGUGGCGAGUGGCGGACGGGUGAGGAAUACAUCGGAAUCUACCUUUUCGUGGGGGAUAACGUAGGGAAACUUACGCUAAUACCGCAUACGACCUACGGGUGAAAGUGGGGGACCGCAAGGCCUCACGCGAUUAGAUGAGCCGAUGUCCGAUUAGCUAGUUGGCGGGGUAAUGGCCCACCAAGGCGACGAUCGGUAGCUGGUCUGAGAGGAUGAUCAGCCACACUGGAACUGAGACACGGUCCAGACUCCUACGGGAGGCAGCAGUGGGGAAUAUUGGACAAUGGGCGCAAGCCUGAUCCAGCCAUACCGCGUGGGUGAAGAAGGCCUUCGGGUUGUAAAGCCCUUUUGUUGGGAAAGAAAUCCUGUCGAUUAAUACUUGGCGAGGAUGACGGUACCCAAAGAAUAAGCACCGGCUAACUUCGUGCCAGCAGCCGCGGUAAGAC